CAUACCUAUUCGAAGGGAUAGGGUCGGUUUGGCCGGAUUUCACACGGGUGUUGCAUGGCUGUCGUCAGCUCGUGUCGUGAGAUGUUGGGUUAAGUCCCGCAACGAGCGCAACCCUCAUCCUUAGUUACCAUCAGGUUAUGCUGGGGACUUUAAGGAAACUGCCAGUGAUAAACUGGAGGAAGGUGGGGAUGAUGUCAAGUCAUCAUGGCCCUUAUGGAGUGGGCUACACACGUGCUACAAUGGUGAUUACAAUGGGCUGCAAGGUCGCAAGGCUGAGCUAAUCCUAAAAAAUCAUCUCAGUUCGGAUUGUUCUCUGCAACUCGAGAGCAUGAAGUUGGAAUCGCUAGUAAUCGUGGAUCAGCAUGCCACGGUGAAUACGUUCUCGGGUCUUGUACACACUGCCCGUCACGCCAUGGGAAUUGGUUUCACUCGAAGCU
rnacentral:rRNA from 6 species